rnacentral:tRNA from 1 species
GUUAAUGUAGCAAAACCUGGUCAUGCAGAAGAUCUAAGCCCUUUUUACAGAGGUUCAAAUCCUCUCAUUAACUCCU